AGUUUACACAUGAAAUAGUUUUGCAUAGAAAAUUGGGUGUAGACCUAUUUGGCAAUGCUUUUACUAUUAUCCCCCACGGUCAACUUCAAACUGAAAGGUUUUGAAGAUGUUUGUCUAUUAUUCAUUCCAAAAGGAAAAACUUGAAUGAUAUAAAAAACAUUGAAAGUCUGAAAAUUAAUAUAAUUAGAAAAUUUUGUCAAAAAGAAAAAUUGUUUUUAUUUUGAAUACUCUCGGAAAAUCGAAAUUUUAAUAUGAACUUUUCGCUGGCGGACGCGAGCUCUUGCUAGUAAAUUAACAUUAAAAUCGAACAAAAAGGCAGAAGCUAAACAAAUAAAAACGCAUAAGUUCGGCCAGACCAAACUCUCAAUACCCCCCACCAUGAGUUUUGCCGGUGAAAUCCGUUGAAAAACAUUCUUCAAAAUACCAAAAAUCGAUGGUAAAAGUUUUCUGCGACAGUGCGAAAAUGUGACAAAGAUCAUCAAAAUACCAAAUGUUCGGAGGUGUCGCUUAAUAAGUGAUAUAAGAAAUAGAGGACAAAUUCGAGCAGUAUUCUGCCACAGAAGAUAGAACCCAUACCGAAUUUUGGCUAAAACUGAUAUAUGUGGCUAAAAUCAUUAGAAUAUUGAAUAUCAGGAACUCUGCCAGAAAAGAUAGAUCCCAUUGUGAAGUACCAAAUAAUUCCAAAUUCAAAUAAUAAUUCCAAAUUCUUCAAAUAAUAAGAAUACCGAAUAUGA